rnacentral:misc_RNA from 1 species
GAUGAAGAACGUAGCGAAAUGCGAUAAGUAAUGCGAAUUGCAGAAUUCCAGUGAGUCAUCGAAUCUUUGAACGCACAUUGCGCCCAUUGGUAUUCCGAUGGGCAUGCCUGUUCGAGCGUCAUUUCAACCCUUAAGCCCUGUUGCUUAGCGUUGGGAGCCUACAGUACUGUAGCUCCCCAAAGUUAGUGGCGGAGUCGGUUUCACACUCUAGACGUAGUAAUUUUUUCUCGUCUGUAGUUGAGCCGGUCCCCUGCCGUAAAACACCCAAUUUAUCAAGGUUGACCUCGGAUCAGGUAGGAAUACCCGCUGAACUUAAGCAUAUCAAUAAGCGGAGGA